AUACUUACCUGGCAGGGGAGGUACCAUGAUCAGGAAGGUGGUUUUCCCAGGGCAAGGCUUAUCCACUGUAUUCUGGAUGUGCUGACCCUUGCAAUUCCCCCCAAUGUGGGAAACGUGACUGCAUAAUUUGUGGUAAUGGGGGACUGUGUUCCCAUACUUCCCUG